UCCGGCCGGGAACUCAAAGGAGACUGCCAGUGAUAAACUGGAGGAAGGUGGGGAUGACGUCAAGUCAUCAUGGCCCUUACGACCAGGGCUACACACGUGCUACAAUGGCGCAUACAAAGAGAAGCGACCUCGCGAGAGCAAGCGGACCUCAUAAAGUGCGUCGUAGUCCGGAUUGGAGUCUGCAACUCGACUCCAUGAAGUCGGAAUCGCUAGUAAUCGUGGAUCAGAAUGCCACGGUGAAUACGUUCCCGGGCC
rnacentral:rRNA from 1 species